GGGUCAUUAGGUUGGUCGUGCCACCGGUACGUACUGGUCUCACUGAUUCCUCCUUCCUGAAGAACCGUAAUGCCAUUAAUUUGGUGUUGCGGGGAAACAGGACUGUUACUUCGAAAAAAUUAGAGUGUUUAAAGCAAGCUAACGCUUGAAUACAUUAGCAUGGAAUAAUGAAAUAGGACGAUCGAUCCUAUUUUGUUGGUUUCUAGGAUUGACGUA
rnacentral:rRNA from 1 species